rnacentral:rRNA from 1 species
AGAGUUUGAUCAUGGCUCAGAUUGAACGCUGGCGGCACGCUUAACACAUGCAAGUCGAACGGUAGCAUGAUAGGAGCUUGCUCUUAUUGAUGACGAGUGGCGAACGGGUGAGGAACGCGUAGGAAUAUCCCUUAAAGAGGGGGAUAACUCGGGGAAACUCGAGCUAAUACCGCGUAAGCUCUACGGAGUAAAGCAGGGGACCUUCGGCCCUUGCACUUUAAGAAUAGCCUGCGUCUGAUUAGCUAGUUGGUGGGGUAAAGGCCUACCAAGGCAAUGAUCGGUAGCUGGUCUGAGAGGAUGGACAGCCACACUGGGACUGAGACACGGCCCAGACUCCUACGGGAGNCANCAGUGGGGAAUAUUGGACAAUGGGGGCAACCCUGAUCCAGCGAUGCCGCGUGUGUGAAGAAGNCCUGAGGGUUGUAAAGCACUUUUAGUGGGGAGGAA